CAGGGUGUCCAUGUACAGUUAGAACUAAAUGAAGAUUGCAUGCAUUUAGUGUCUGCUGCUUUAAGUGUUUGAAGCAUAUUUAUGGCCAGCGGAAGGUCCGACAUGUGAACCAGAACAUACACAGUACGGACUGUGAUGAACACAGUGGGCCAGAAUUCUGCCUCUUCCUGGCAUGGGAUGUGCAAGGGAUGAAGGUGAAAGGAGCUGUGUUGCCUUCAUUAAGACACAGGAGGAAACUCCUUUUAUUCAUACCUUCCCCUCAAGCUUCCACACUGCAGCCCUCUUGCUAAG